UCCGAGGCGCGAUUAUUGCUAAUUGAAAACUUUUCCCAAUACCCCGCCAUGACGACUUGAAAUAUAGUCGGCAUUGGCAAUUUUUGACAGUCUCUACGGAGA